rnacentral:rRNA from 1 species
ACGAACGCUGGCGGCGUGCCUAAUACAUGCAAGUUGAGCGCUGAAGGUUGGUACUUGUACCAACUGGAUGAGCAGCGAACGGGUGAGUAACGCGUGGGGAAUCUGCCUUUGAGCGGGGGACAACAUUUGGAAACGAAUGCUAAUACCGCAUAAAAACUUUAAACACAAGUUUUAAGUUUGAAAGAUGCAAUUGCAUCACUCAAAGAUGAUCCCGCGUUGUAUUAGCUAGUUGGUGAGGUAAAGGCUCACCAAGGCGAUGAUACAUAGCCGACCUGAGAGGGUGAUCGGCCACAGUGGGACUGAGACACGGCCCAAACUCCUACGGGAGGCAGCAGUAGGGAAUCUUCGGCAAUGGACGAAAGUCUGACCGAGCAACGCCGCGUGAGUGAAGAAGGUUUUCGGAUCGUAAAACUCUGUUGGUAGAGAAGAACGUUGGUGAGAGUGGAAAGCUCAUCAAGUGACGGUAACUACCCAGAAAGGGACGGCUAACUACGUG